rnacentral:rRNA from 1 species
AGUGAACGCUGGCGAUAGGCCUAACACAUGCAAGUCGAACGGCAGCACAGUAAGAGCUUGCUCUUACGGGUGGCGAGUGGCGGACGGGUGAGGAAUACAUCGGAAUCUACUUUUUCGUGGGGGAUAACGUAGGGAAACUUACGCUAAUACCGCAUACGACCUACGGGUGAAAGCAGGGGAUCUUCGGACCUUGCGCGGUUGAAUGAGCCGAUGUCGGAUUAGCUAGUUGGCGGGGUAAAGGCCCACCAAGGCGACGAUCCGUAGCUGGUCUGAGAGGAUGAUCAGCCACACUGGAAAUGAGGCAAGGUCCUGACUCCUACGGGAGGAAGCAGUAGGGAAGAUUGGACAAUGGGCGCGAACCUGAACCAGCGAGACCGCGUGGGGGAAGAAGGCCUUCGGGUUGUAAAGCCCUUUUGUUGGGAAAGAAAAGCAGCAGAUUAAUACCCCGCUGUUCUGACGGUACCCAAAGAAUAAGCACCGGCUAACUUCGUG